UUUUGCUCCCUGGAUCAUAUACUGCCGGAUCAAGCAUUGUUCUCCUCGCUGGAGAGUGUGGAGAGCGAGAAGUAGACUGGUGCCAUGAGGUGUCGACGACGAUGUGGUGGAGUCCCCAGCACAGACGUGUGUUUUCGCGCCUGCUGAAGAUCUGCCGCUGGGGACAAAAAGACGGGAAUGUCCCGUCGACACCGAGGUCAUUACUGUGGGGGACGACAUCACAUCUGUGUUCUCAUGCCUGCUGAAGAUCUGCCGCUGGGGACAAAAAGACGGGAAUGUCCCGUCGACACCGAGGUCAUUACUGUGGGGGACGACAUCACAUCUGUGUUCUCAUGCCUGCUGAAGAUCUGCCGCUGGGGACAAAAAGACGAGAAUGUCCCGUCGACACCGAG